UCACUUUGGCAGCACACAGAACAAAACUGAAACAAUACACAGAAGAUUAUCAUGGUCCUUGCGCAAGGACAACGCACAAAUUCAUGAGGCAUUCCAUAUUUAA
ensembl:snRNA U6 U6 spliceosomal RNA